rnacentral:rRNA from 1 species
AUGGCGAGGCUUCCCGGUCUGCGUUGCUGCGACCUUGCCGCGAGCGGCUCCCUCCCUCCUCUCGGCCUUGCCUGCCGCCCUCGCAGGUCGCCCCGCGCCUCGGCUCUACGCUACUCGUCUCUCCAAGCUGGUGACAGCCUCGGGGAGGAUGUCUUGCGCAUGUUCCUUGAGGAUAGGCAGACGAAUGGGGACUUCGUCUCCAAAGUCGCUGACAUGGUUUUGAGGAGAAAUGACACAGGUCUUGAUGUGUUAGAGGCUACCACAGAUCAAGGAAAUGCUGCAGAUGUUGGGCAACCUGACGAUUUCAGGGAUGAUGUUAUGAGUGAGGGAGUCGUGGGAUUUGAGGCAACUGGAGAUUUUGUGUCCACUGAGGGCAGCCUUACUGUGAGAAGGAGGCUUUCUGCUCUGGCUGGGCUGAAGGAGAGUGAUAAAAGGAAGGAAUUCAACCUUCUGAGAUAUGAAGCAAUUAAGGACGAACUGUUGCUCUUGACCGUAGGAAUUGGAGCCGCUUGCACUAUAUAUUGUGUCCUAGUCUUCUCUCUCGAGGCUGGUAUCAGUUAUGCUUUUGGAGUUGCUUUCAGCUGGUUGUAUCUUCAACUUCUGUAUCGACACGCAGAUAACCUAUCGAAGGAAGAUGUUCCUGAAGUUUUUCUAAAGAAGAAAGUGAAGAAAAUCGGCAUUCGAAGCGAGGAUUUGAAGGAUACAUUAGAGAAGACAUUGGGUGGCUCUCUAUUUGUUCUUUCAUCCCCAAGGCUAAUAAUUCCUGCAGUGAUUUUUGGGCUGUCAACCUUUUCUAGUCAUUUUCAAAAUAACAUUUUUAAUUUUGAGCUUGUUCCAGGGAUGAUGGGGUUCUUUGCGUACAAGGCCGCAGCUUUGGUACAGGUCUACAGAGAUAACGAUGAUCUUAGAUUGAUACUCCCCGACGACGAUCCUGACUACAGCUGA